CCCCUGUUGAGCAUGGUGACAUCCCUUGGCCACCUGGGCCUGUUUCCUUGGAGGGACAAUAUAAAGAUGAACACAGUCCAUCGCAGGCCCAGGUUGAAAUGCUAGCCGGAGUUCUGUAGUGUUUCGAGUUUGAAAGGAAAGGUCUGGGAUUUCUGCAUGUGAUCAGGAGCCGUAGUAGCCUCACCCACCAGUCCGCACCCAGCCGUUCACCCUCCUCCAGCUGUUCCCAGGGCCUGACUUACCAGCUGGGCUUCGAGUCUCUAGUUCAGCGUGAAGAGAUCAAGUGAUUCCAACCAAACUUCCUUCCGAGUGACUCCAGUGAGUGGCAACUGUGCCAACAAAAAGGAAUCAGAAGUUGCUGGCCAGUGUAAGUCUGGAACAGAAACUUGAACCCAACAGUAGGGGACGAGAAAGCCCUCAGGAGCCUACAGGAGAAAAAGAGGCUCUAGGAGCUCAGAAAGCCCUGGAGCUCUGAGGAACCACAGCUUAGCACCCGUACCUCCUCCCUGCGGCUCUGAGGACAGAAUCCCCUGCAGCUCCAGAUCCCGUCUAGGAGGCCAAUCCCUCCAGUCAGGUCCAAAUUCCACCUUCUUCAGGAUGGGCUUCCCAUACAGAAGAUCUAUAUCCAAGAUGAUUGUCCAAGCACCAGGCCCUGCUACCCAACCCUACCUCUCAGUGGCGACUACCACGAUCACUGUCAUCAUCACUGCCAUUCCUUGUGCACCUACUUACUUCAUGUCAACUGUGGGAGCUUUACACUGGGUUAUUUUGUUUAGCCCUCGCAAGGUACAUUUCAUUAUUAUUAUCUCCAUUUUACAGAGGCAAAAAUAGCUCAGAAGUUAAGUAUCUUGCCCAAGGUCACAUGGCUGACCUAAGAGCAGAGAUAAGAUGUAAACUUUGGCAAUCUGGCCAGACAGCUUAUCCUUGAGGAGCAUCAUGUCCUCCAGGGAUGCGAUGUUCCUUCCUAGGUAGCACAGCCUUGAAGAGCAGUACACAUGGGUGCUGGAUACAGAGAUACCGUGGAUCCUGUAUGUUUUGACAGAUGCUGUUUGUAGUGUUGUCAUGUAUAACACACACAGAUACACACACACACACACACACACCAAUGUUCAACAUAUGUUUUGCCUCAACAUAUGCAAACAUCCCACCAAAGAGCCCAGAGCUCAUUAGCCAUGGUUCUUCCAGUGAACAAAAGGUCAGCCCAGGACUGUCCGCUGUAUCUCCAGACGCAAGCACUUAGGGCUUAAUGAUGUGUAUAUUUCCAUAUGUGGGCAGCUGACAUUCCCCAUGUAAACUAUUUGCAAUUUCCCAACAUGGACAGAUUCAACUUUCGGGAAAAGCUGAGCAGAAGAGGGGCAAGAUAGAGGUCCCUCCCCUUCCUUCUAAGUAAGGGGCUGCCUCGUCCUGCUGGACCAGGUAGGAGGCAGCUGUUAUUUGGGGAUGAUGACUUCUCCCGGACAGAAAGAGAGGGGGCCACUUGCCCAGCUGUACCCUGGCCACUCCUUGACCCUAAGAGGAUCUGCAUCAGCUCUGGGAAGCCUGGCUGUGGACAGGGACAGGGAUAGGAAUCAGGCAUCCAGCAGGAGCCAGGACUGGAGGCAGCUGUGGGCGCUCAGAGGGGCUGGCCCUAGCCACUGGUGCUGGGCACAGUGGCUGUGUGGGUUUCUCACCAAUUUGCUCCAGGAUGACAGAUGUGGAAACUAAGCCUACGGAGCUGGGUGAAUAGAAAGAUCAUUGCUUCACUGCUAUAUCAUAGAAUGGAAUGUGGGUUUAGUAUGCAUUUCAUAAAUGCUUAUAGACAGAAUAUCAUUAAAUGGCGGACUCGAGAUUCAAAUGCAGUCUUGUCCUGCUCACAAACCCAUAAUCUCUCCAUUCCACUUUGCUGAAAUGAACUGGUGAUGUUCUUGGUACACAGUAGGUACUCAAUAUUCUUGCUGACUAAAUGCACAUGCACACAUACAACACAUAUGUUCACAGUGUGGAAGAGUGAGUCAAUCCUUUUCCUGACCACCAAAAGUACCUUCACAGGGUCAUCUGGUCUACCCCCUGCCAUGGUGACAAGCUAGGCCAAUCAGAGCUCCUCUCUGGAAUUUUCUCAGUUAAAACUGGAUGAUCGAGGGCUGGGGAUUUAGCUCAGCACCAUAGUGCCUGCCUGGAAAGUGUGAGGUCAUGAGUUCGAUUCCCAGUACCAGAAAAAAAAAAAACCAAAAAACUGGAUGAUCAGUGCACACAUCCCAGGCAGACUGUGGGCUGGAGCCUUGGGGGCUGCAGGCUAUAGGAGACCCCAGAGAUGCUCUUGGAAAGCACAUCCUGGUUUCAAGCCCAGGUUCUACUGUGUCUCUCAUGGUUUCAUUUGAUCCUAUGAAGAGCCUCCAGCCAUCAGCUUCCAAUUAUUCCCUCUCUGUUUGAACAACUGAAAAGCAAGAAUCUGUCACUUGCCACCAGGAAUCUGGGUGGCAAAGACAGCAGGAGGGUGGUAGGGCACACAGGGCUUGUUCUAACUCCAACUCCUGGCCUGAAAUUAAACAUGCUUGUACAAUCACAACCAGAAGGCCAAAGUGACAAUAAAGACAAACAAAUAAAAAAAGAAGGCCAAGGCAAAAGACUGCUGACCGGCAGUUGCAGAGAGUGUUUCCUCACUUGGGGGUUGAUCUAAGGUCUGGCUGACAGGAAGAAAAAGCGCCACUCUUCUACCUUUUUAAUCAAAACCUUCAGGGCCAUGUGUUAGAGCCACUGCCACAUACCCUUGAGUCUGUCUGGAGCAGUUCCUCUCUGUCUGUGGCCAGGCAGGAGACACAAUCCACAAGCCCCAAACAAGAGCAGAUCAAAGGAAAAAGGAGGGUUUUGUUUUCUGGGUCACUGGAGAGAAGAUAAAUCAGCCCGUCACAUGCUCACGAGUGACGUUCCCUCCACCCUAGGUCUGAUGUCAAUAUCCCACGGCUCCGGACAGGAACACCGGGACUCCUUACUGCAGUGUCCUUGCCGUCAGCCCAGUGGAUGGGCUGGAAGGCCUGAGGAGGGUGCCUGUUGCAGCCCCUCUGGGCAGAGAUGCUGCCGGAGAGGCAGCUGAUAGCUGGAGGUCCUUGUGAUAGAAGCUGGGAAAUGACAGCUCCCUCCUUGGGCAACUCACAAUGGCUCUUUGAAGUUCUAAGAGGGACAACACUCACCGCUUGCCAUGAAGGUGCACAUGGUCUUCAAUCAACAGUAGAUUUACCAUGAAGCAGAGGAUGCUAUGCUUUGGGACUCUCUGCUUGUAGCCCUAAGACUUAUAGUGUUCUAGGCAUGGGGAAGAAGCCAGGUUUAAAUGUGGAAGUGUUUCUACAAACAUUUCUGAUAAACUGAGAUCACAGAUGAAAAAGACCAGAAACUCCAAGCCUCUAAUGGUUUUUGUUUUUUUUUCUGGUACUGGGAAUCGAACUCACGACAUUGUGCUUGCCAGGCAGGCGCUAUGCAGCUGAGCUAAAUCCCCUGCCCUUCCAAGCCUCUAAUAACUUGCUGUGAUUUCUUUUCCCAGCCCCAGUAUACACUUCUGUGCAUGAUGUUCUAUUUCCUAUGUUAUUUAUGUUUUUUUUUUUUUCUGUCUUUUUGAGACAGGGUCUUGCUAUGCAGUUCAGGCUGGCCUUG